ACAUCUAAGUACCUGGAGGAAGAGAAAGAAAAAUCGAUUUUCUUAGUAGCGGCGAGCGAAAGGGAAAGAGCCCAAACCGGAAACUUGUUUCCGGGGUUGUGGACAUAGCAUCAAAGUGGAGGCUAUUGUAACUGAAGAGAACUGGAAAGUUCCACCGUAGAAGGUAAUAGUCCUGUAAGUGAAACGAGAAGACCACGAGUUAUGAUCCAGAGUACCACGAGAC
rnacentral:rRNA from 1 species